GAUGAACGCUGGCGGCGUGCCUAAUACAUGCAAGUCGAGCGAACGGACGAGAAGCUUGCUUCUCUGAUGUUAGCGGCGGACGGGCGAGUAACACGUGGAUAACCUACCUCUAAGACUGGGAUAACUUCGGAAAACCGGAGCUAAUACCGGCUAAUAUUUUGAACCGCAUGGUUCAAAAGUGAAAGACGGUCUUGCUGUCACUUAUAGAUGGAUCCGCGCUGCAUUAGCUAGUUGGUAAGGUAACGGCUUACCAAGGCAACGAUGCAUAGCCGACCUGAGAGGAUGAUCGGCCACACUGGAACUGAGACACGGUCCAGACUCCUACGGGAGGCAGCAGUAGGGAAUCUUCCGCAAUGGGCGAAAGCCUGACGGAGCAACGCCGCGUGAGUGAUGAAGGUCUUCGGAUCGUAAAACUCUGUUAUUAGGGAAGAACAUAUGUGUAAGUAACUGUGCACAUCUUGACGGUACCUAAUCAGAAAGCCACGGCUAACUACGUG
rnacentral:rRNA from 1 species